rnacentral:rRNA from 1 species
CAGCACCUCAGGUGGUCAGGAUGAUUAUUGGGCCUAAAGCAUCCGUAGCCUGCUUUGUUAGUUUUCGGUUAAAUCCAUACGCUCAACGUAUGGGCUGCCGGGAAUACUGCAAAGCUAGGGAGUGGGAGAGGUAGACGGUACUCGGUAGGAAGGGGUAAAAUCCUUUGAUCUAUUGAUGACCACCUGUGGCGAAGGCGGUCCACCAGAACACGUCCGACGGUGAGGGAUGAAAGCUGGGGGAGCAAACCGGAUUAGAUACCCGCGUAGUCC